rnacentral:rRNA from 1 species
UACGUAGGGUCCGAGCGUUGUCCGGAAUUACUGGGCGUAAAGCGCACGUAGGUGGGUACUUAAGUCGGAUGUGAAAGCCCUGGGCUUAACCUGGGAAUUGCACCCGAUACUGGGUAUCUAGAGUAUGGUAGAGGGAAGUGGAAUUUCCGGUGUAGCGGUGAAAUUCGUAGAUAUCGGGAGGAACACCUGUGGCGAAGGCGGCCAUCUGGACAACUACUGACGCUGAGGUGCGAAAGCGUGGGGAGCAAUCAGG